GAGGGCAGCAUGGCCACAGCAGUGGCACAAAACCGGCAUGCUGAGACCAGCCACAACUUCCUCUCUCAGUGUUGAAGAGGCAAAAACCCCUCGGGGUUGCAUGGGUGCUGGAGGCAAUGGGUGAACCACCACAGAUUGUGGUCAUGAAGAUUUUUGGGGGACCUGUAGACACCUGUGAGGAGAAAAUGCAGUCUCACCUGCUAUCCCUAAGGAAGGUGUUGGCAGAGUUUCUAGACUGGAGAGUGAAGGCAGUUUCUAGACUGGAGAGUGAGCAAAGAGAAGCAUCAUCGGGACUACCUGGAGACGAGCAAGGCUGAGCGGCUCCGCAUCGAGGCCAAGUUCGAGUGGCUGUGCCACUGGAACAGAAGCAUGUGGUCCUGGGGUGGCUGGUGGAGCUGAAUGACUCCUUCACAGCUGCCCAGGCCAAAAAAUCAUCGCAGGUGGCUGAGGGGAUCACACAGCUCCAUGGGCUCAUGGGGCAGCUGGAAGCCAAGCGCUUGUCCCAGGUGAGAGCCCUCCUUACCCAAAAGCCCUUCCAAAGUGCUGCCUAUGAGAACUUGAACCAUCCUCCCCCUUUUUUCUCCCUUUUUAUUUUUAGGAUGUUGGGAGCAUAGUAAGCAGCAUCCCUCUCUGUCAUUUAUCUUCCCAGCUGUAGUGAAAUAAGGCUUCACUUCCCCUCUGGGCUCCCCAUGGAGCUUGAGAAGAGCCUGAGCUCCUGCUGCUGCCAGCGGAAUGAACUGCGAGAGGACC